GAGGCUUUGCUGGGUGCUUGGAUCUCUGCAAGGUCCAAUGAGCAUCUCAGAAUGUAUGAGGACUGGGAGAGGAGAAAGAAAAUGGGACCAGAGAAGCAACUCACCCAACUGUUCUGUCUUGUUCUGGGCAUCUUUCUCAAGGGUGGGUGGCUCGGCUAGGGGGGUGACAGGAGCCUUCCCUGUGUAGAAUGGGGGAGAGUCAGCUUAAAGAGGUGAAGCAUCAGGGAAGGCAGAGGAAGCAGGGCAAGCAGCCAGUCAGUGAAGAGAGAAUGGAUGGGUAAAUCAACAGGCAAGUGAGGACAAAAAGUCCCCAGAAGAAAUCAUCAUCCAGAGGGUAAAAGGAAAAAUUAUAGUCAUGGAACUCGUAAGGUCUAAGAGAUAAUCUUGUGUCAGUCCUGUCCCCUUAUCCUUUUAUAGGAAUAAGCCCUACAAUAGGCAACAGAAACUGGACUACAUCGGGAUCCCCUGUCUUGACUCACUCUGGAAGCAGGGAACCCCAAAAAUAUAGUGGGAGGGGCACUCAGGAGGGAAGCUGAAGUUGAAUGGGAGUGGCAUUGGUGGUGGGCAGGAGGCAGCAGGCCUAGCUGGGAGAGGAGAUUACCACUCAAGUAAGAAUUGACAGAUGUGUAGGAAUUUAUUUUCAGUGGCAGCCUAAUUAAAGUGUUAAAGUUCCUUAACUCCAUUCAGCCCUGCACCAGGAUCGUUUGCUAUUGAUCUGGGCCCCUCCAGCACUUAACUCCAGCCAGCAUAUUGGCAAUUCAAUUAGCACCAGUCAAUGCUGCCUGUUCCCGGUUCCCGCUGCCCGUGUCCUCACCGUCGCCCACUGCUGGCCUCUCCAAAGCCCGAAGCCCAUGCCCACCUCUGUCUGACAGCCCCUUCCAGGCUCUUCUGCACCCUCUGGAUCAAUGACGCCUGGCUGGCUGUUUCCGGCCUUUGCUGGUACAGCCUCAGCUGCCUAAGGGGGACUCUAAGCCCAGCCUUAGGGCUGAAGACUUCCUACGAGACAGGAAGAGGCUGGGAAGCUUAUCAGGGCCUCUUCCCAACUCUGCUGCCUUUGGACUAUGCCCACAGCUCCCUUCCAACUCCUGGCUCAGCAAGAAUCAGGAGUCCGGAGCUGCCCAUGGCUGAAGCUUAGGAUGCUUUGAAGAGCUGAGAGUCCUUCCUCAGCUGUUGGGCUGUUCUGUAGCAGCUGCAGACGCCUCUGGGCUUGGGCGUCCCGGUGGGCAGCAGAAACUAGAAUCAUGGGAAGAGGCUGACACUCAGACCCUGAAGGGACACGGCCAGAUCACAGGAGACUGCGCUUCCCCCAAGGGAGCCUCACCCUCGCCCACCCUGUGCUUCCUCCCCGGGCCCUCGUUUCCCUCUUGUGACUACCUAAGUAUCAAUGCUUGGACUGGACAAGGCUCUCGCCUAGUAUGUGAAUGGAAUCUAUUCCCAUCUUUCUGAACUUCGGGUGACAGGAUGGACUGAGCUGACAUAGACUUCUCCCUCCAGCCCCAAAUACCAGAAGAGCUGAAUAAAGUCUUUGUUUCAUUUUC